rnacentral:lncRNA from 1 species
GGUGGAGACCAAAACGUUUCGUUCGAAUUAUAUUGCGGACCGUGGAUGUCCCGAAAUUUAUAAAUCUCCACACUCCACAUUCACGAAAAUAAAAAACUGAAAGUUUGAGUCGUGUGUUUUUUUGUGUUGUGUAUGGUGAAAUAUCGGUCUCUCUAAAAUCACUGAGUAUGGAAAGAUUUGUUGUUCGACUAAAAAGGCAGAGACAAGAAGAAGACGAAGGCCAGCCUGGUUCAUCAGGUCAACAAAAAACAAGAACGGAGAAAAGAUUUCGUCGUUUGUCAAUAGACCAGACUCCGCGAAAUUACGAUGAUAGCGAGUGUGAAGACAAUCCUUGUUCUGUUAACGUGUCAACAAAUGCUGGAAAUUUCUUUAAAAAAAGUGAUGAAGAGAUAAGUGACCUCGAAGAUGUACCUUCUGCAAAUGAUAAAGAAGAACGGAGUGUGUCAACUCCAAAAAAGGAAAAAAAAAGUUUAUAAACAGAAAUUCAAAGAUGCGUGGAGAAAAAUGUAUUCUUGGGUUGAAGCAAAAGACGAUAAAACACGCUGCAAAACCUGUGACAAAAUAAUCACAGGUAAUGUUACUCACUUGGCACGGCACAAUGACAUCAUCUAUCAUAAAAAAAGAUCUCGAGCCCUCUGUAAUGUCAGCACAAGAAUUGACAAAGCAAUAUUGGAGACUCAAUCACAAAAAACGGUUCAAAAUAGAGCUGUAUUAAAAAUUCUCAAUUUUGUGACAGAACAUAAUUUGCCAAUAAGCAUUCUAGAUCACUUGCCGAAAUUUAUCCAGCACUUGUGUCCAGAUUCCAAAAUUGCAAAAAUAAUUCAGUGUGGAAGAACAAAAGGAACAUCUAUAAUCUGCAAUCACUUUGCACCGGAAAGUAUAGAAAAAGUAUGCGAAGUGAUCAGAAAAAAUCCAUUCUCUCUUAUUAUUGAUGAAACUACUGAUAUUUCUAUGGAAAAAUGUUUGGCUGUUGUUGUGCGCUACUUUGAUUAUUCCUGCAUAAGAGAUAGACUGCUAUCUCUAAUCGAACUCAAAGCAGGCACUGCGGAUGCUCUGUGUGAGGCAGUGAAAAAUCUUUUUGAAAAAAAAACAACAUCCCGUUGAGCAACAUGAUAGGUUUUGCUGCUGACAACUGUUCUGUCAUGAUGGGAAAUGUGAAUGGAGUCCAAGUUCAAUUUAAGGCUAAAAUUCCAAAUCUCUUCGUAUUGGGUUGUUUUUGCCACUCAAUGAAUUUAUGCUCAUCGGCAGCUUGCCUUUAACUUCCAACAACGUUGGAGGAUUUAGCCCGAGAUAUCUACAGCUAUUUCAGCAAUAGCCCUAAACAUGUGCUGGAAUUGAAAAGUUUCCAAGCAUUUGCAAACGUUCAGCCACACAAAAUCUUGAAGCUCUGUCAAACUCGUUGGUUAUCGCUUGAGAAUGUAAUCAACCGGAUUUUAGAACAGUGGGAUGCACUCGAGUCAUUUUUUGCUAAAACUUCGGAAAAAGACAGCUUGCAAUCUGCAAAAUGCACUUUCCACGCUUUGCGAAAUCCGAUUUAUAAAGUGUAUUACACUUUCCUGUUGUUCGUUCUUGAGAUAGUUAAUAAAAUCAAUUUGAUAUUUCAAAGACAAAAACCGAUGAUAACAAACUUGCUCAGUACCGUCGAGAAACACUUAAGAGUUAUCUUGGGAUGUUUCAUGAAAAAAAGCUAUCUCGAAAAAACUGAAAUUGCUCGUAUUAUCAUUGAUAAUUGUCGCGAAUACUUGGACAUCAACAAGAUGUACUUUGGUGCAAAAACUGAGCUCCUAUUCACAACUCUUAAGAGUCAGGAACUUCGAGAUUUCAAAGUACGGGCGUUAGAUUUUCUCGUAUGUCUCGCAAGUCAAAUAAAAAGUCGUAUUGACUUCAAUAAUCCGAUUUUGAAAGCAGUCAACGUACUAACUCCGAAAAAUGUGUUGAGUGGUGCAUAUUCGUCAAUAAUAUCGCUCAUAACGUUGUUUCCAAAUAUCGUUCAGCCAGACUCAUUCGAACACAUCAAUUCCGAGUGGCGCACGUUACUUCAAUUUAAAGAGCAACUGGAAAAUAUCGACGAUUUGGAAGAAUUUUGGCUUGAAGCUGGCCGGAUAAAAGAAGAUGGAGAAUCAUUAUUUCCGAAUUUACACAAACUGGGAAUGAGUAUUUUAUCUCUUCCUAACAGUAGUGCAGCUACUGAACGUAUAUUCUCGAAGCUGAAUUUAAUAAAAUCAAAACUUCGAAGUAAACUGCAUGUCGAGACCUGCAAUUCGUUGCUCCUUGCCAAAGAGAUGUCCAAUGGGUCUUGUUAUAAAUGGGAACCCCCAUCGUCACUCUUAAAACGUAUUUCUACUCACAAAUGUGAUUUGGAAUCACGCGACGUAGAAGCUGGGCAUAAUGUGGAAUCAGACGAAAACGCAAAGAUUAUUGACGAAUUGCUGACCGAAUGAUGAGUCUUCAAAACCCUUAGUUUUGAUAUUAUAUCACAAAAUGAGAACUUUUGAAGUCAAUGUUAUAAUAGGAAAUGAAAAUCAAAUCAACAUUAAAAAAUUGGUGAUGAAACAGAGAACUGUUGAAGACAACAUCACAGCAGGAGAUGAAAAUCAAAUCGGCAAUCAAAAAACUGGCGAUAAAAAAGAGAACUGUUAAAGACAACGUCACGACAGGAGAUGGCAAUCGAUUAGCAAUCCAAAAGAUGAAAAAUUGAAUAGAAAGGAAAUAUUUCUAAAAAAUCUUCGUUCAAGGUACAACCAACGUCUGAUCACUAUCGAAGAAAAUGACAGCAAAAUAAAUAAAUCAGAUAAAAUACGAAACAACGGUUGGAAGGUUCCAUGAUCGCACAUCAAACUCGAAAAAAAGAAUCAUGGGUCAAAACCUUGCUGAAUUAUUCGAGCUUCAUCUAGAAAACAAGUAACAGGUUUUCCGUGCCAUCAACAAAGCCGAACGGAAAGUGUCAAGUUCAUCUACGAUUACCUUAACGAAAUCGAUGAGACAACGAUGAUUAAAUCAUCCAAAAUUUCGCUGCAAUAACUUAUAAUAUCUUGUAUGUAAAAUCAUGAAAAACAUUGCGCUUCACGAUACAAAAAGUCAUUAAAUGUAAAGAGAGUAUGUUGAUCAGUCAAAAAAAUUCUACUUUUUAGACAAAACGUCAUUUAAAAAUUAAUCUCAUUAAUUAUUUAUACUCGAAUUGAUGCUUGAAAUUGAAAUUGAAAUAAUCAAAGUUCCUAGUCAAAAUGUAAUAGGCAAUAUUAUUCUAAAUACAAGAUGAAAAUGAAUAAAUGAAAACUACACUAAACAAACCCUUAUCGAUUCUCAGCUGAAAUCAUUGAUAAUCGUCUGAGUAAGUCGGAAAGUACUGGAAUUAAUUCACCGUGAAUAUAAAUGGAGAUAAUCAUUAUUCGAAAUCAAUCUCGAUCAUUGGAUAUUAAUAAAUAUCAAUAAUCAUUGGAAAACUUUUUUGUUUCUCGAAUUAAACCCACGAGACUGAUA